CACCAAUCCUCAAAAUGUGUAAAAUCAUCUUUAUAUUAAUUCUAGACGCAUGACUUCGAUUUGUGAACAUACCUAUUAAACAUGAAUACAAGCCUAAAGCAACUGUUGACCCCGCAAAUUGGACCCUCCACGUGAUUAACCGAAAGCUAAUCCAUGUGUUUCUUUCUGUGCGCAACAACAAAUGGUCAAGCGUAUAUGGCUAAUACCAACGGUGGUGACAACAACCACAUACCCUCUGACGAUCAAGUCAGUUGACGAUGGUGCCGGAAUGCGCAAUACUCAAAGGGGGAGGAGAAAAUGUAGUUGCUUG
rnacentral:lncRNA from 1 species